GCGAAAUGGCAGUGGCUUUCAACGCACUGAUGGAAAGCCUGCAAGAGACGUUGAACCGCGUCAUGGCGGGCGCCCAGGAAGUCUCGGCGGCCGCUACGCAGAUGGCAGCG
rnacentral:misc_RNA from 1 species